rnacentral:rRNA from 1 species
GAUGAACGCUAGCUACAGGCUUAACACAUGCAAGUCGAGGGACCGGCGCACUGGUGAGUAACACGUAUCCAACCUGCCCUUUACUCGGGGAUAUCCUUUCGAAAGCAAGAUUAAUACCCGAUAUAAAGGAUGGGGAUGCGUUCCAUUAGGUUGUUGGUGAGGUAACGGCCCACCAAGCCUUCGAUGGAUAGGGGUUCUGAGAGGAACGUCCUCCACGUCGGAACUGGGAAAAAGUCCAAACUCCUACAGGAGGCAGCGGUGAGGAAUGUUGGAAAAUGGGAGUUAGACUGAUCCAGCCCAGUAGCAUGAAGGAUGACGGCUUAUGGGUCGUAGACUUCUUUUAUAGCGGGAUGUGAGUUAGAUGAAUAAGGAUCGACUAACUCCGUGCCAGCCGCCGCGGUAAUAC